rnacentral:rRNA from 1 species
AGAGUUUGAUCAUGGCUCAGAUUGAACGCUGGCGGAAUGCUUUACACAUGCAAGUCGAACGGUAGAGGGGGCAACCCCUUGAGAGUGGCGAACGGGUGAGUAAUAUAUCGGAACGUGCCCAGUCGUGGGGGAUAACGUAGCGAAAGUUACGCUAAUACCGCAUACGAUCUAAGGAUGAAAGCGGGGGACCGUAAGGCCUCGCGCGAUUGGAGCGGCCGAUAUCAGAUUAGGUAGUUGGUGGGGUAAAGGCUCACCAAGCCAACGAUCUGUAGCUGGUCUGAGAGGACGACCAGCCACACUGGAACUGAGACACGGUCCAGACUCCUACGGGAGGCAGCAGUGGGGAAUUUUGGACAAUGGACGCAAGUCUGAUCCAGCCAUUCCGCGUGCAGGAUGAAGGCCCUCGGGUUGUAAACUGCUUUUGUACGGAACGAAAAGGUUUCUCUUAAUACGGGGGGCUCAUGACGGUACCGUAAGAAUAAGCACCGGCUAACUACGUGCCAGCAGCCGCGGUAAUACGUAGGGUGCAAGCGUUAAUCGGAAUUACUGGGCGUAAAGCGUGCGCAGGCGGUUAUGUAAGACAGAGGUGAAAUCCCCGGGCUCAACCUGGGAACUGCCUUUGUGACUGCAUAGCUAGAGUACGGUAGAGGGGGAUGGAAUUCCGCGUGUAGCAGUGAAAUGCGUAGAUAUGCGGAGGAACACCGAUGGCGAAGGCAAUCCCCUGGACCUGUACUGACGCUCAUGCACGAAAGCGUGGGGAGCAAACAGGAUUAGAUACCCUGGUAGUCCACGCCCUAAACGAUGUCAACUG